ACAGCAGUAGCCGCGGUAAUACGGAGGGUGCAAGCGUUAAUCGGAAUUACUGGGCGUAAAGCGCACGCAGGCGUUCUGACAAGUCAGAUGUGAAAUCCCCGGGCUUAACCUGGGAACUGCAUUUGAAACUGUCAGGCUGGAGUCUUGUAGAGGGGGGUGGAAUUCCAGGUGUAGCGGUGAAAUGCGUAGAGAUCUGGAGGAAUACCGGUGGCGAAGGCGGCCCCCUGGACAAAGACUGACGCUCAGGUGCGAAAGCGUGGGGAGCAAACAGGAUUAGAUACCCGGGUAGUUCCUGUCUCUUAUAC
rnacentral:rRNA from 1 species